GACGAACGCUGGCGGCGUGCUUAACACAUGCCAGUCGAACGGAAAGGCCCUGCUUGCAGGGUGCUCGAGUGGCGAACGGGUGAGUAACACGUGGGUGAUCUGCCCCUUACUUUGGGAUAAGCCUGGGAAACUGGGUCUAAUACCGGAUAGGACCAUGCUGUAGGUGGUGUGGUGGAAAGAUUAGUUUCGGUAAGGGAUGAGCUCGCGGCCUAUCAGCUUGUUGGUGGGGUAAUGGCCUACCAAGGCGUCGACGGGUAGCCGGCCUGAGAGGGUGGACGGCCACAUUGGGACUGAGAUACGGCCCAGACUCCUACGGGAGGCAGCAGUGGGGAAUAUUGCACAAUGGGCGCAAGCCUGAUGCAGCGACGCCGCGUGGGGGAUGACGGCCUUCGGGUUGUAAACUCCUUUCAGCCAUGACGAAGCCCUUGUGGUGACGGUAGUGGUAGAAGAAGCACCGGCUAACUACGUG
rnacentral:rRNA from 1 species